rnacentral:rRNA from 1 species
AUUGAACGCUGGCGGCAGGCCUAACACAUGCAAGUCGGGCGGUAGCACAGGAGAGCUUGCUCUCCGGGUGACGAGCGGCGGACGGGUGAGUAAUGUCUGGGAAUCUGCCUGAUGGAGGGGGAUAACUACUGGAAACGGUAGCUAAUACCGCAUAACGUCGAAAGACCAAAGAGGGGGACCUUCGGGCCUCUUGCCAUCGGAUGUGCCCAGAUGGGAUUAGCUAGUAGGUUAGGUAAAGGCUCACCUAGGCGACGAUCCCUAGCUGGUCUGAGAGGAUGACCAGCCACACUGGAACUGAGACACGGUCCAGACUCCUACGGGAGGCAGCAGUGGGGAAUAUUGCACAAUGGGCGCAAGCCUGAUGCAGCCAUGCCGCGUGUAUGAAGAAGGCCUUCGGGUUGUAAAGUACUUUCAGCGGGGAGGAAGGUGUUGUGGUUAAUAACCGCAGCAAUUGACGUUACCCGCGGAAGAAGCACCGGCUAACUCCGUGCCAGCCGCCGCGGUAA